GCUGUCAGCUGCAGAAGAAGAGAAACUCCCAUCAGAUCAACUUCAACACAAAAAUGUUCUCUGUAGCUCUGCUGCUGCUGCUGGUUGCUGGAUCCUGUGUGAAGUGUGAACAGCUGACACAGCCAGCCUCUGUGACUGUGCAGCCAGGUCAACGUCUGACCAUCAGCUGCCAGGUAUCUUAUGAUAUGAGCAGCUAUGCAACUGACUGGAUCAGACAGCCUGCAGGGAAAGGACUGGAGUGGAUUGGGGGGAAAUAUACUGGAGGUUCAGACUACAAAGACUCACUGAAGAACAAGUUCAGUAUAGACUUAGACACUUCCAGUAAAACAGUGACUCUGAAUGGACAGAAUAUGCAGCCUGAAGACUCUGCUGUGUAUUACUGUGCCAGAGUAGACCACAGUGACUCAAACCAGCAGCACAGCUGUACAAAAACCCCUCAGAGUCGGAACAGGAUUAGAGAAAUCUUCCCCCCUGGGGUCCGGACAUUAGUGGUGGAGAUCGGAAGGGACAAGGGAGCAAGGAGGAGCCUGAGAGCGCUAAGGAGGAGAUGGGAUGGAGGUGGGAUAAAGCUCAUCUGA